rnacentral:rRNA from 1 species
UAGGCUGAAACUCGCCUACAUGAAGCUGGAGUUACUAGUAAUCGCAGAUCAGAAUGCUGCGGUGAAUGCGUUCCCGGGUCUUGUACACACCGCCCGUCACACCACGGAAGUUGGGGCGCCCGAAGCCACUUAGCUAACCCUUUUGGGAAGCGAGUGUCGAAGGUGAAAUCAAUAACUGGGGUGAAGUCGUAACAAGGUAAC